CCCCCAACACCUUAGACAUUGUGCUCACACAAGCUUAUCCCAAGCAGGUUAAAAUUCAUUACAAGGGAAAUAGAUGUUUACCCACUUGUUGAAAAUUUUAUUGAAAUGAGUCUAAUCUGUUUUUGGGCAUCGUCACUGAUUCUCAAAAGCUUAAGUUGGUUUCAGACUAAGUCACCCAGAAAAGCUGCCAGCAUGUUAUCUAGGACACAAGAAAAAUGUGGUACUUGUGGUAAAACGGCUUAUCCACUGGAGAAGACUUUCAUAGCAAGUAAAUUACAAUACAAAGAGGCCCCUACUGAUAUGCAUGAUGGACACAAUAGAAGGGGCUCAACCUAGUACAAACAAGAAGUAUGUCCAACACAGAGCAGUCCCUAGUGGAAGUAGCACUCAAGUAUUCUGACAGUGUUAUUUGUGAUGGAAUCUUUUCUUGUAAUAAGUAUUCUGAUACAGUAUUAUUUGUGAUGGAAUGCUUUCUUGUAAUGCUGAUGUGUAAUUUUUUUUGUGAUGGAAUGAGUUUACCAUUUUGAUUCAGUACUAUCUUUAGUGUAAUGUU